rnacentral:rRNA from 1 species
UACGGGAGGCAGCAGUGGGGAAUAUUGCACAAUGGGCGCAAGCCUGAUGCAGCCAUGCCGCGUGUAUGAAGAAGGCCUUCGGGUUGUAAAGUACUUUCAGUCGUGAGGAAGGUGUUAAGGUUAAUAACCUUAGCAAUUGACGUUAGCGACAGAAGAAGCACCGGCUAACUCCGUGCCAGCAGCCGCGGUAAUACGGAGGGUGCGAGCGUUAAUCGGAAUUACUGGGCGUAAAGGGCACGCAGGCGGUUAAUUAAGUUGGAUGUGAAAUCCCCGGGCUUAACCUGGGAAUGGCAUUCAAGACUGGUUAGCUAGAGUCUUGUAGAGGGGGUAGAAUUCCGAUGUGUAGCGGUGAAAUGCGUAGAGAUGUGGAGGAAUCCGGUGGCGAAGGCGGCCCCUGGACAAAGGCUGACGCUCAUGUGCGAAAGCGUGGGGAGCAAAC